CCUUGCUCUUCAGUGGUCCACAGAACGUAGGACCAACUACGGCAUAAAAGCUCUACAUCGGGGGCAAGACUCCUGGUUGACACUGGAGUUUUAUCGACAUCUCCCCGGAUUAAAUGCCCAGUCUGAGGCCCAGUCUGAGGAGAGUCAGGAAGGACAGAGGGAGGAACCAUCUAUGAACGAGUGCCGUCCAGUCCGGAAGGGGGUUUCUCCUGGGUCUGGUCGAACCUUUGUAUGGUAAUCAAUUAAAUCUAAACAUG
rnacentral:lncRNA from 1 species